rnacentral:rRNA from 1 species
GCUUACGGCCAUACCAGCCUGGGUACGCCCGAUCUCGUCUGAUCUCGGAAGCGAAGCAGGGUCGGGCCUGGUUAGUACUUGGAUGGGAGACCGCCUGGGAAUACCAGGUGCUGUAAGGA